rnacentral:rRNA from 1 species
UGGUAGUCCACGCUGUAAACGAUGUCGAUUUGAAGGUUGUUCCCUUGAGGAGUGGCUUUCGGAGCUAACGCGUUAAAUCGACCGCCUGGGGAGUACGGCCGCAAGGUUAAAACUCAAAUGAAUUGACGGGGGCCCGCACAAGCGGUGGAGCAUGUGGUUUAAUUCGAUGCAACGCGAAGAACCUUACCUACUCUUGACAUCCAGAGAACUUAGCAGAGAUGCUUUGUGCCUUCGGGAACUCUGAGACAGGUGCUGCAUGGCUGUCGUCAGCUCGUGUUGUGAAAUGUUGGGUUAAGUCCCGCAACGAGCGCAACCCUUAUCCUUUGUUGCCAGCGAUUCGGUCGGGAACUCAAAGGAGACUGCCGGUGAUAAACCGGAGGAAGGUGGGGAUGACGUCAAGUCAUCAUGGCCCUUACGAGUAGGGCUACACACGUGCUACAAUGGCGUAUACAAAGAGAAGCGACCUCGCGAGAGCAAGCGGAACUCAUAAAGUACGUCGUAGUCCGGAUUGGAGUCUGCAACUCGACUCCAUGAAGUCGGAAUCGCUAGUAAUCGUAGAUCAGAAUGCUACGGUGAAUACGUUCCCGGGCCUUGUACACACCGCCCGUCACACCAUGGGAGUGGGUUGCAAAAGAAGUAGGUAGCUUAACCUUCGGGAGGGCGCUUACCACUUUGUGAUUCGUGACUGGGGUGAAGUCGUA